rnacentral:rRNA from 1 species
GACGAACGCUGGCGGCGUGCUUAACACAUGCAAGUCGAACGGUAAGGCCCCUCGGGGUACACGAGUGGCGAACGGGUGAGUAACACGUGGGUGAUCUGUCCUGCACUUCGGGAUAAGCCUGGGAAACUGGGUCUAAUACCGGAUAGGACCACUGCCUGCAUGGGUGGUGGUGGAAAGCUUUUGCGGUGUGGAAUGGGCCCGCGGCCUAUCAGCUUGUUGGUGGGGUGAUGGCCUACCAAGGCGACGACGGGUAGCCGGCCUGAGAGGGUGACCGGCCACACUGGGACUGAGAUACGGCCCAGACUCCUACGGGAGGCAGCAGUGGGGAAUAUUGCACAAUGGGCGCAAGCCUGAUGCAGCGACGCCGCGUGAGGGAUGACGGCCUUCGGGUUGUAAACCUCUUUCAGCACCGACGAAGCGCAAGUGACGGUAGGUGCAGAAGAAGGACCGGCCAACUACGUGCCAGCCGCCGCCGUAAGAC